UGUUAUGGCGGCUGUGCGCGGGAGACCUUCGGGUCUGCCGGGGUCCGAUAUGCCCGGUCUUGCACACCUGCGUACAGCUGCCACCCAA
rnacentral:antisense_RNA from 1 species